rnacentral:rRNA from 1 species
UGCGGGGGGGGCAAGCGUUGUUCGGAAUUACUGGGCGUAAAGGGCUUGUAGGCGGCCAACUAAGUCGGAUGUGAAAUCCCCAGGCUUAACCUGGGAACUGCAUCCGAUACUGGUCGGCUUGAAUCCGGGAGAGGGAUGCAGAAUUCCAGGUGUAGCGGUGAAAUGCGUAGAUAUCUGGAGGAAUACCGGUGGCGAAGGCGGCAUCCUGGACCGGCAUUGACGCUGAACAGCGAAAGCUAGGGGAGCAAACGGG